rnacentral:rRNA from 1 species
UUGAAAGGGAAACGAUUGAAGUCAGUCGUACCGGUGGGUAAUCAGCCUUUCGGCGUGAUUAUGUGGAGCGUGAGGAGUUAAACGCCCUCAUGGCCUGAAUAUUCGUGUUCUUUGGGUGUACUUACCCGCAUGGUAGGUUAACAUCAAUUUCGAACGUCAUAAAAUGGUUGGAGGAAUGUAGCUUCGAUCUCGUAUUGAAGUGUUAUAGACUCCGGCAGAUGUGAUGAUCGGGAUUGAGGAUUGCAACGGAUACCCUUCGGGGCUACCCGUCUGAUCUCUGAAAGUUGCUCUGGUGCCGAAAGCUCGCUUACGGUCAUCAAAGUUGACGUUCAACAGGUUAGAACGGGAUAAAUUCGUUAAGGAUGUUGACGUA